ACUGGAUGAGUAACCAAAUGUCCUGUUUCAAGUACUAAAACAAAAGAUGGACACUUCUUUCCCUGUGAUAGACAGUGUCAAACUUUGCAUUAGAAUCACAAGGUGCAAGAGUUUUAGGCCAUUUGUCAUCCGACACGUAUUGGCCGAAAGGAUCUGGAAUAUGGGAUAAAAUAUUCUCUUGGUGGUGGUCAUUGAAAGCCCAGAGAAGAGUUAUACAGGGACAUUCUUCACUACGUCCAGGAGAAUGCUGGUCUGUUUCAGGCGAAAAAGGACAUUUAGUUGUGUCCCUGUCUCACCAAGUCUCCAUCACACAAGUGACACUCGGCCACAUCACCAGAAGCCAGUCUCAAA